CUAUGUUUCCAUCCACUUGUCAAUGGAAUUAUCUGAAGUUUGGCCAAAAAAGUGUGUUUCCAUCCAACAACAGCUUUGAAGCAAAUAACAACCUAUUUGUAAUGCCGACGGUCAGAUUGGUAAAUAGAUUUGAGACAUUUGAAGGUGUUUCCAUUCAUUUUUGCCCUUUUUGAAUCGCACAACAUUCAAGCAAAGAUUUGCUAAAGAAGGUUUUGCUAGCCAAGAUGGAUCGACUUCCUACAAACGAUUCAUAUUUAACAAGUUGUAAUAGUGCUUAUGUGCCAGCUGAUAGCGACUAUUCAAUCUUUAAUAAGAUAACAACUACAUUGUGAAAAUAUCGCUAUGAUGAUGCAAAUGCACGUUAGGUUGCUAUCUAACAUAGUCGUUAUAUUUCGCUCGUAAAUUACAUUAAAAAAAGUCUCGUCUCCUCGAUCGUCCAUCUAUAUCUGUCUUUGUUGACACCCGCCACGUCUGCAAAGAAAACGGAAGAACGUGGCAAGUAUGGCUUAAAACUACUCCUUUGUUUUAUGGCAGUAGACUUAAAUGACCUAAAACGUAAUCACAAUUCAUUAUUUAUUCGGCAAAUAAUGUUUCCCAGCGUUAUUUGCGUAAAAUCCAAUGAAAUUGACCAUUCAAACUUUGUGUCAAUAUUCAUGAAACAUGUCAUAUUUUACCGUUUCCAUGGGGCGUUUUUCAUUUGAUAUUACUUAAUUGACAUUAAAAUGUGUGGAUGGAAACAUGGCCAGCGUAAAGUGAGACAGCAGCCACUGCCUAAUCUCUCAUUCCGACCGUACAUGUGUACGUAGCAGCAGCCGUAGUUUCAGUGCAGUACAGCCGCCGGUGAAGUGACUUGAAUGUGGAGUUUAUGUAUUAUUCUUUAAGAUUAGGACAAGGCCAGUUUUUCUUGUAAUUCUCGACACGGCACGGAGCAGCUGCCAAUAUCAGAAAGCUAUUAAACUGAAUAUUAUCAGAGUAAGGUCAGAGUUCUUAUUUUUUAAACUAGAAACUGUAAUUUCAUCUGUGAAAACACGUUUUUCUGUUCUUUCCUGUACUCUCAAAGUAUUUUUCUUAAUCUCACUCUUUUUCUUUGAUGUCGAGGUAAUUGUCUUUGUGUGGUGACCACUUAAAAGUAAGAAUUAUAGAGCUUUGUCCACAUAUACGUUGCGUAUUUUUAAAAAGAAGAAGACAAAAUUAAUGUUGAUGCUUGUGUUUUUAGUGUUUAUGUGUUCUGGUACUUUGUCCUUAUCUACCCCUGUAGAUGCAGAUGGAUCACAUCCCUCACAGUGCUGUUUCCUCUCGUGCUGUUUCAGUGUUGUUGCAUUUUUUUUUAUUUUUUUUCCUCUACAGAGUUUUAUCCUUAAAAUAUCCUAUCCCUAAAAUAUCUAUUUAAUCUGUUGGUUGGGCAGUACUCUUUAUGUUCUCGCUUUAAAACGGCAAAAAAAAAAAAAAAGAUGAGUAUCGGUUUCACUUUUCAGAUAUGUAGCAUUUUGAAUAUUGUAAAGAAGGUGAAGAUGACACAUAAUUAAUCACAUAGUUUCCAAGCUGCAUUUAAAAGCAAUGGUGCUUCAUAGACCAUGUAUUUGUCAUUUCUAGAACAUUGUUUUACAUCCCCUGGAUCCAAUAACAAUAUAUGUUGAUGUUUUCAUGCUGACAUUUUCUUUAAAGUUCAUUUUAAUCCGUAUGAUGUGCCUUAUGCUUGUCUCAGUACAUUUCCUGCGUUUUCCCUUCAAGUGCACAAGUUUGUUCGCUGCAACCUGUAGAUGACUUCCUUCGACUUGAGGGGCAAUUAUUGAAAUAAAUCCUAACUUGACAUUGUGUAUUAACACCUUAACUGUGUUUCCCAGCAUUGGUCGUCAGUUAACGACCACUAGCAGAGCCCGCUUUAUUGGGUCCACUUACCUUUUGUUCUUUGGAAAUACAGUGUCACAGUUGGGAUGAUUAUCAUAAUCCCUCAAGAUAGCCUCCUCUCAUCUCAAUCCACAUGGAACAGCAGCAUCUAGUCAGGGAGCAUCAGACACAAUAGAAGCCUCUUACAUUCAAGUAGAACCCAGUAGAGCUUAACAAUCACCGCCCACUUUAUAAACGCCUCUGGUUCUCAAAGUGUUUUUCCUCAUUCAAAAUCUCCAUUGACAUCUCGUUAAAUUUGUGUAUAGAGCCGUCUCCGAGAGCAACUGUGACCAUAAAAUAUUUGAUCCGGCGCAAAAUAACCUUUUGAAAAAGAUGAAAACGUCAAAGACCGUGUACAGAAACUAUCAUAGACUUCAGUGGUAGAAGCAUGCUAACUGGUUGCAAGUUCGGUAAACAUUUCCAUGGUAACAGCGAGAUUUUAAUCAGAAUUUUUUAUGGUCACUUUUUCGGACUUCUAGCUUCUACAGCAGCUGAAAUGUUCGUUACACAACCUCGGAGCUCGUGGUCAGUCUGCCUCAGAUGGUUUAGACAUUAUGGCGGAUAAUCAAAAAUCCUUAUGAAGUAAAAAUGAAUGGGAUUUUUACUUCUGGAACCACACUAUGGCGCAUUAUUAGAACUCAUUGUAGACCCCCUGGUGAGGACGAUUCAAAAUUGGUGAAAGGUUUUUAAGGUAAAGGAUUCUCCAGCUCAUUAAAACGACCUGACAGUCUGUUUGUUAAUGAAGCUGUUUGGAGGGAUUUUUGGUUUAGUCAAGACAAAAAAGAAGUUUUGACUUGUCAGUAACGGUUUUCCUGGGAGGGUCAGAGGGGACAGCAGUGUCCAACAAAGUUAGUGCCUUGCUUUAGCAGAUUGCUUGACUCAGACUCAAAGGUUUAAUAGUCACGUUACUGUCAUCUGCAAACCAAAUUUGAUGUUUUUUUACUUUUACUUUGGUAAAUAGUGGCUCAACAUGCUUCAAACAUACAGUUGGCCUUAAAUGCACAUGUGCACAGAAGCUUUAAAAUUCAAUAUUCCACAAACAUUGGGUUAUUUUAGUGAUUUUUGGCCAUUAGUUCUACCAGUUGCUAAUUACUUUAUUUGGUCCUUAAGGACUGAGACCACAGGAAGGAAGUUUAGAGCAGACGAUUCAAGACAUUUCGAGAGGAUAUAACCAAAUCUGCACUUUAAAUAAAUUAUCUAAGCUGUGCUUCUGCCGCAAUAUUGGUGACUCCAAUGUCAUCACAACUGAUGGUAAUACAGAGGGAGAACAAAAAAAAAAUCUUUACUCUAGCGAAGGCACAUGUUAAAUGGAGAUUAAAAUUAUCCUGAGAGGGGAGAGAAACAGUUAUGAAUGAGAUUUGAAAAGAUGUGCUGUCGGGUUGAGCGAUACAUCCUGCUCAGCCUGUCCACUGACACAUAGCGCUCAACUCCUCCGCUCGACAAACUACUCAUCGGUUUCUACUCUCACUCCCCCUUUCUUUGCCUUCUUUUAAGACUCAAAAGCCAAAUUUAGUUUUCUCUCCUUACAUGUCGACAGUUACUUUCGACAAGAGGGCAUUCGUAUCAUUGCCCAAGUUGAGCGACUCAUAUUUUUAGGAUCAAGUAUAUUUAAGACUAUUUAAGAGACCAAAGAGUUUUUAAAGGACUACGUUUUAAUGUUCUGAAACAUGAACAUGGAAGAAGAACAGCACCCCAGAUGGACAUUAGAGCAACUGAUGAGAACUAAAUUGUGUUAAUGUAUGUGGAAAGAGUUGGCCAGAUGGAAGUUGUUUUAAAAAUACAAAUCUAGGCAAAAGGGAAGUCCCGCCCCCAUUUUAGACCCCGCUUCACUAGCUUCGACCAGACAAAUAAAAAUAAAAUGGUUUAUAAAUUAUAGUAAUUUUAACCAAGACAAAACAAGUAUUAUUUUGUCGGCAUAUGUAAAAUACACCUCCGGUAGUCUUCUAAGGAGGUGUAGUGUUGGAUCCUAACACUGUUUUAUCUUUGCUAAAAUGAAGAAAUGUGAACAUUUAACUGCUUAAUAUCCUCAGAAUAUUGAUAGAAAAACCUGAAGAUCCGAUACAUUAAAGACAACUCCCUGAGAGAAAAAGUAGUAGUAGCACAGAUGCUAACCCCCAAAAAGGGGCGGGGUUUCAGAUCUUGAUUCAAUCCCUAGAAGACUUCUCACCAGUGCUAGUGCCCAAUACUGUGCCGCUUGAAGGGUCCCCCCCCCCCCCCC